GGUCCUAUCGUCUAACCUGGUUCAGGACGUCGCCCUCUCACGGCGAAAAUUCGGGUUCAAAUCCCGAUGGGAUCA
rnacentral:tRNA from 1 species